rnacentral:sRNA from 1 species
UCCUGAUCGAGCGUCUCCAGGAGCGUA